rnacentral:rRNA from 1 species
UACGUAGGUGGCAAGCGUUGUCCGGAUUUAUUGGGCGUAAAGCGAGCGCAGGCGGUUUCUUAAGUCUGAUGUGAAAGCCCCCGGCUCAACCGGGGAGGGUCAUUGGAAACUGGUCGACUUGAGUGCAGAAGAGGGAAGUGGAAUUCCAUGUGUAGCGGUGAAAUGCGUAGAGAUAUGGAGGAACACCAGUGGCGAAGGCGGCUUCCUGGUCUGUAACUGACACUGAGGCGCGAAAGCGUGGGGAGCAAACAGG